AGAGAGAUCUCUCGUUUCUUUCUCUUUCUCUCACUGUAUCUCUCAUCAUUUUUACCUUCAAUCUGUAUGUUUUCAUGGUAUCAGAGCGGCAUGAUCCUCGAAUUCUUCUCUGUUACUUGUUAUCGAUCAUGUCGGAAGUUCUAUUGCAGGUUUUUCUCUGGAUAUUUGUGAGAGAUUCCGUUUACCGAGAGAACGGGAUGACCCUCGAAUUCUUCUCCGUUACUUGUUAUCGAUCAUAUCGGAAGUUCUAUUGAAGGUUUUUCUCUAGAUAUUUGUGAGAGAUUCAGUUUACCGAGAGAUCAAUGUGUAUUGAACAGAUAAUCGGAACUUUUACUGCUAUUUGAUAGUUCGAUCUUCACUCAGUGGAUGUUUUGGGUGAUUAUCCGACAUCCCUGACCUUAUUCCCGUAAUUUUCCAGAUUCUAGGUUUCCGGUGUUCGGACCUAGGGUUUUACUGCUAUCCGAUGGCUCGAUCCUCACUCGGUGGAUGUUUUGGGUGAUUUUCCGACGUCCCUGACCCUAUUCCGGUAAGUUUCCAGACCCUAUGGUUUCCGGUGGUCUGACCUAGGUUUUUUAUCUGACGAUUGAAGGCCGUUCUUCUCCGGUCGUGAAGAAGGAGGGUAACUCUAUCCUUGUUCUAAGUGUUGUAUAUUUUGCAUGUGGGUUCUGAUUCAACUUUAGCCUGUUUACCAAGACUGUUUUUCAUUUCAAACUGGUUAUUGUUCAUGACUUCUAAUAUGAAUGUUAAUACCUUCUCCGUGGACUCUACCAGCCCCCUUUUUAUUUACUCAUCUGAUGUUCCUGGAGUUUCUCUUGUGUCCACUCCCUUCUCGGGAAGUGGUUAUGGGGGUUGGAGGAGGAAAAUGAUUGUCGCGCUGUCUGCUAAAAAUAAAAUUGGCUUUGUUGAUGGCACAUGUCCUCGGCCAGUCACUAAUGUGGCUGAGCAAAGGUUGUGGGACAUAUGCAAUAAUAUGGUAAUCUCUUGGUUAACUGCCUCCAUGUCCCCUCAAAUUGCUGAAAGUGUGCAGUAUUCUGAUACUGCACAGAGUAUAUGGUCCCAGCUUCAGGCCAGAUAUGGCACUGCCAACAGGACCAAAAUUUUUGAACUAAAAAGAGAGCUUUCUCACACUUCU
rnacentral:lncRNA from 1 species